ensembl:lncRNA
CCAAAAUAGGAGCACCUGACAUAGAUUUUCCCCAGAUUAUGGCUUACAGAGCUGGGCUCAACAGCUGAUGUUGAUUGUGGUGAUAAAACAGGGUGAAAUGAAACCCCGUGUGCUUUCAUGUGGUGCAAAGAGAUGCUGGGUUGCUUCAGAGCUUCAGCUGUAUUUAGACACAUAAGAACUGUUUUCUUCUUCACAAAAGAAGAAAAGCGAUUUAUGAAACAGUGAGCAGAACGCUAUUCUGGAGAAUGAGAUGUCUGAUUUUUGUUCCAAGCUCUGCCAGAGUGACCUUGCACUGCCACUUCCUCUGUAUUUCAGCAUCCACAACUAUAAAAAAUAUCUCGAGAAACCAUUUCUAGUUGCUUUCAAUUUGUUUUGGAUUGAACUCGUGAUCUUAAUGAUGAAGGACGCUACAACCCAUUAGCAGUCAUCUGAGCCGUCCAGAUCUCUUGAGAGCCUCUUUCAACUGACAACCAUGCCUUCACUGUGCAAUCCCACAACUGUGCCUUUGCUGUAAAACUAUUCCUCUGAAGACGCUGCCAUCUGGAACAGACUUUUGGAGCCUCUGCCUCAUUGACUUGCUGUAUCUUUUAAAAUUUCAUUGGACAGCAGCUUUUCUCACUUGUCUGAGCCUCUUAAUUCUCUAUUUUGUCUUUUCCAUUGUAAUCUUUUUAAUUUAGUGAUUGUUAUUCUAGUCUGUAAAGCUAGUAUAAUAGUAUAUAAUAUAAUAAUAAUACCUGUAUAGUAAUGUUACUUUAUAUUUUACUUUACAGAAAAAUAGUGUAUUUGAAGUUGUCUGUAUACGUAUUUACCAGUCUGCCAUCUUUGAGUGAACCUUAUCUCCUACUAAUAAUUUGGUGAAAGAGAUUUUUUUUUUAAUUUUGGAAGUUGCUUAGGACAGAAAACAUGUUAUGACUAGACCACAGUCAUUUGUACUUAUCCUAAGUCAUAACCCAGUAACAGUAAAUGGUUCAUUUUCCAGCAUGUAGUUUUCCUAUCACUGCCCAACAUGUAAGGGAGACAAAGCUGAAUAAUCAUGGAGAAGUCAAUUGAUGAGGAAAGGAACUUGACUCCAUGCCAUGAGUUUCAUUAUUUUGUGUAUGAACUGAGAUACUUCUGGAUCUGAGACUGCAAGCUGUUACAUGCUCUUGCUACAACAGCCUGAUUAACUUUUAAUGGGAAAAAAAAUUUGUUCCGCUUUCAAGUACAGUAAUCUGGUAAAGGGUUAGCCAUCAAAGACCCAGUUAAAGGGCAGGAGCACAGCAAGAGACCUAUAAAGCUCAGCUACAGGGGUGUAGCUCAAGAAAAAAUAAGCAAUUAGAGUUGGCAGGAAGGGGAUGUCAGAUGUGCAACUGUCUCUUGCAUGAAUUGUCUCCCAGAAAGCUGAAGGACAGCACAAAAUUAUCUUUCCUUAGAGACUCAUCCAUAAGUGGUGUUAAUGACUGUCAGUUACAUUCAAUUUGAUAGUUAUCAUCUGAAAUGAUUGAUUGUAGCUGUGCUGCACAUGGAUAUGGUUAGCAAAAUCUCCCUGCGCUUUCGUUGUCCCAGAAGAUAUUGCUUGAUGGUUAGCACUUAGAUGCUGUUCUACACCUCUCUGGUAGCAUCAUGCUGUUUUUCUGUUUACAGACAUGAUGGCAAUAUUGGACUGUGUUCUGAAAGGAAAAUAAUUUUUAAAUCUACAGUAGGUUUUUUGCUGCCUCUGGUGCAUGUGAUAACUUGCUUGAAGCACUUUGGGACAAAAACUACUUGAGAAAAGCCAAAAUGGCCAGCACACAAAAAUUCUGUGGUUCUGGAAACCAGUUUAAUAACUCCCAGAAGGUGGCUUUGUUCACCAGCUGAGCUCCAAAUAUGAUGCCUUUUCAAGUGUAGACAACUGGCUACUGGCAUCCUCUAACCUUUGAAGAGAUCUGUUGCCACAAAAUCUUCCAGCUUGGGAGAACCUGUGCCUAUAAGGGAAGAAAGAAAUGGAAUAAUUGUUCAGGUGCUUCAACCCAGGUAUCAGGAGCCAGCUUGGAUGCCCUGGUUUGUCUGACACAUCUCUGGGGCUGGCAGGUUUGACUGAAGAUGCACAGGAGGCUGCUGUUCUUGUAGAGUUGCAGAGAGAAGCUAAUGAGUAAGCUCUAUCAUAUUUGCAGCACUGAUAAUUUGUGUGCAGGUAACUGAUAAUUCCUAUAAUUUCUCUCUUGGGAUUUUCUACCCAUCUCAUUACUGGUUAAAUCUUUGAACUGCAUCCUCACCUUAAGCUCAUUUAAUUAAUAUCAUUAUCCAUUUUGGGAGAAAUUGAGAUUUUACAAAGUUCAGAGGGAGAUUAAUGUAUAGAUUGUGGUUUGGCCUAUUGCACCGUGGGUGGCUUGAGGCAGAAAUCUUGGGUGCAGGUACGUUUCCAUAUUCAAGCUUCCUUGAAGCUUCAGGGCUGGGCUUGGGACUCAUUAUUGUAAUGCAUUAAAUUAAUGUUAUAGAUGAAAUUCCAAUUCAAUCUUCUUCGUAAGAGAGCCUUUGACAUGAUAUAUUAACCAUCAGAUUAGAAGAAGACUGACUAAUUAUCAUUUAAUGCAAUUGAAUGCCAGGAUUUGUCAUUUGAUGAGGCUGGCUGGGUGGGGAAUAUAAAUCUGCUGGUACCAGUACCCAUAUAAACUUUAAAUGGGAGGAAGAUUAAAAUUCCAUGGAUGGGAUAUUUAUUUGCAGUCAUUAUUCACAGAGUGACGUAUCACAAAGUCAUAAAAAUGCAAGUGCCUAUCUUUUCUUUCAUAUGGAGCCUUUGAAAAAAGGAUUACCGUAGUCCCAAUCAUAGUUUAGAUGGCACUACAUGCUCUUACUUUUUAAUAUAUCUGCACAUGUACUCUAUAUUUACAUGAAAGUCAUCCCACAGAUGUGUAGUAGCUUCCAAUUAUUGUAAGGGCAUAAAGAACAUGACAGGAAUAAAGUCCUCUGGGUCAUUAAGUCUAAAUCCUUGCUAUCACAGAGAAGUUUAACCUCAAGUUAUCAGUCCACUCUUCCAUCCCUUUCACAUGGUGCUCUGGUCUUCCUCUAUUUUUUUUUUUUGUACCGAUUCUCAUCUUCAGUACUUUAAUGAGUAGCUUUAAAAAAAAAAACAACUCAGCAGGUCAAUAUAACUAAUGUUCACUUGCAAACCUAGGUUCCAUUACAUCCUGUUUUUCCAUUUCCUUUCUGGUCUCCUCCUGUUUCAGGGUUUUUAAAAACUUGCAUGCAGUAGAGCCACUACAAUAGUUCCAUGAUUACAUUCAUUUCUUCUUUCUCACUUGGAUAAUAAAAUAUUGCUUCCAACAUUGAGCAGACUUGUAAAAUUUUGGAAUUACAACUUGAUAAAUUUUUAGCUGGGAAAACAUUUGUCUUAGAGAGGAGAGGAGGUUUCUGAGUGUGUUUGGUUAGUCUUUGACUCCUGAUUUUGUUAUUAGGUAUUUUAUUCUGUUCUUUCCUUCUGACCCCUGAUAGCUGCACCUCUGUUAGAAUGGACUCAGGAGUGUCAGCAUGUCUGGUACCUUGCUAGUUGGGCAGCAGCCUAAUUCUUGUAUGCUGCGGGGCAUCUAUGAGGCUCAGACAAAGAGGUUGGACUGCUUUCCAAAUGAUGUAAUCCAAAAAAGACUACAGCUCAACAGGAGCACUUGUGACCUGAAUGAUCUUCUGUGUCAUCUGCAGACUUUUUGGAGUAUGGCAGCAGGAAUUUAAAAUCUGGUGAUGCAGGUUAACAACAUGAAAGGAUGUGCUUUUUGUCUGGGUAAGGGAGAAAAACCUCUGAAGAGGGACUUCUGGGGCAUAACAGCUGAAGAUGUGAAUUUCAACCUCUCUCUAGCAUGAUGCUCUGAUCCUUUCCUGCAGCAAGCAAAAUGUCUGAGGAAAAUAAAACUUCACUCCCCUUGAAAAAAGAGUGCAUAGCACAAUAUAACCUUUUUAUUAGUAGUUAUUUUGCCAUAUGUGUUUUCUCAUCAUAAACUUGCAUUAUCUAACUGUUGUCCCUAACCUAACAGAAUUCCCACCUUCCCUAGCAACAGGACUGACUUUGGCUGGACAUACAUAAUUGCAUGAUGUGCUGGACAGUGUAGUUAAAUUAUUACCAGGGAAUUUUUUAGUGCAAGUGUCUUUGCUGCUUCCAAUGUUCACAUAUAUACUAAACUACCUAUGAAUUUUAAAUUCUAUUUGUAUGUAAAAGCUAGAAAGAAAAUGUCUUCUACAAAAGCAUUCAAUAAAACAACAGUCUCUGAGUAAUUAACAUGCCACAGGCAUUUGCAAGAAGAAAUACUAAUUUUACUGGAGAAAUCUAGUUACAUUUAUGGUGAAAUCUUGCAAAUGGUUUUAAUGAGGUCUAUUUUUAGUAACUAUCUAUAAUUUUGGACAUCUGUAUCAAAUCUCAUGUGUACUAUAAUACUACCAAGCAGACUAUGUCCUGUCAAAAUAAAAAGAAAGGCACAUUUAUAUUGUGUUUCUCUGAGCACGCAGAGACUUGCAGUUUUAUAAGCCUUCAUUGAACAAUUUAAUUUCUGGUAAUUAGAAUGGUUGCAAUCUUUCAGGUUAGAAGGGUUUAGUGUUUAUUAAGAGGUUGCCUUCUGUGUUGCAAGAUGGUUAUCAGCAUGGGUCCAGUCUGGUAUUACUGAAGACACAAUAUUCAGGGAGACGGCUCUUUUCUUCCUCUUGCCUUUUUUGACCUGAAGGAAGAAAUUAGAUAUGUAAG